AUUGAACGCUGGCGGCAGGCCUAACACAUGCAAGUCGAACGAGUGGCGGACGGGUGAGUAAUGUCUGGGAAACUGCCCGAUGGAGGGGGCUAACUACUGGAAACGGUAGCUAAUACCGCAUACCAUCAGAUGUGCCCAGAUGGGAUUAGCUGGUCGGUGGGGUAACGGCUCACCUAGGCGACGAUCCCUAGCGGGUCUGAGAGGAUGACCAGCCACACGGGAACGGAGACACGGUCCAGACUCCUACGGGAGGAAGCAGUGGGGAAUAUUGCACAAUGGGCGCAAGCCUGAUGCAGCCAUGCCGCGUGUGUGAAGAAGGCCUUCGGGUUGUAAAGCACUGUCAGCGGGGAGGCGUUACCCGCAGAAGAAGCACCGGCUAACUCCGUGCCAGCAGCCGCGGUAAUAC
rnacentral:rRNA from 1 species